rnacentral:SRP_RNA from 1 species
GGAGAUUAGAUUCGGACAUGCUCCUUGCUAACCCGGCCAGAUCCGGAAGGAAGCAGCCGUAACAAGUUCUUCAUGGGUCGUAAUCUAGUCUCCUUA